rnacentral:tRNA from 1 species
GAGAGUGUAGCUCAGCAGGGAGAGCAUCUGUCGAUUUUGAAUUAUAUCUUGACCAAGAUAUAAACAGCAAUAUCUUUAAACAGACUGUCGUGGGUUCGAGCCCCACCACUCUCA